AAAAGAAAAAGCCAAACUUGUCGACAGACAAGGACGGAAAGUUACGGGUCUUAAACGUAAAAAGAUAGCCGGACUGCCUUU
rnacentral:ncRNA from 1 species